rnacentral:rRNA from 1 species
UACGUAGGGUGCAAGCGUUAAUCGGAAUUACUGGGCGUAAAGCGUGCGCAGGCGGUUAUAUAAGACAGAUGUGAAAUCCCCGGGCUCAACCUGGGAACUGCAUUUGUGACUGUAUAGCUAGAGUACGGCAGAGGGGGAUGGAAUUCCGCGUGUAGAAGUGAAAUGCGUAGAUAUGCGGAGGAACACCAAUGGCGAAGGCAA